rnacentral:lncRNA from 1 species
GAUGGGAAGGGCAGAGGGACUUCUUUUCUCAAGACUGUCCAUCUGCCUUGCACUCAGAGGCUAAUCAAGGCAUUUGAGAAGCAGAAGAAGAAGAGGUAGAGAGAGAGCCAGGGACACAGCACAACCAGCAAAUGAAACCUUGCACACACAUCACAGAGUAAAGAGGAAGAGUGUGCAUUUGACUCCUAGGAGGGGCUUGGUUAGAAGGAGUCCAUCAGCAAGAAGCACUGCUCUCAAAUGCUUCCUGAUGGAAAGUAAAUCUGGGAAAACACCAGGGCCAGAAAUUGGCAGGGAAGACUUGGACAGAAGAAGAAUUUGGAGAGAAAGGCACAGGUAGCCUUUUUUGCCUGGAAAGGACAACUACUGUGUUUUGCCCAGGUAGCUCUCUGUUCCAUAAGAUUUCCAUAUUAAAGAGGUUGAUUUAGUCUGGUCAGUUUGGUGUGAUUUUCUGUGUAGAUGGUUCCUUUUCUUCUCACAAGCAGAAGUGACGGCUUAACUGUCCUCAAAGCUCAA